AACCCCUGGCAUGGUCUAGUAUAAGCACUCUUUUACUGUGAAACUGCGAAUGGCUCAUUAAAUCAGUUAUCGUUUAUUUGAUAGUACCCUACUACAUGGAUACCUGUGGUAAUUCUAGAGCUAAUACAUGCGCAAAACCCCGACUUCGGAAGGGGUGUAUUUAUUAGAUAAAAAACCAAUGCCCUUCGGGGCUCCUUGGUGAUUCAUAAUAACUUCACGAAUCGCAUGGCCUUGCGCCGGCGAUGGUUCAUUCAAAUUUCUGCCCUAUCAACUUUCGAUGGUAGGAUAGUGGCCUACCAUGGUGGCAACGGGUAACGGGGAAUUAGGGUUCGAUUCCGGAGAGGGAGCCUGAGAAACGGCUACCACAUCCAAGGAAGGCAGCAGGCGCGCAAAUUACCCAAUCCCGAUACGGGGAGGUAGUGACAAUAAAUACUGAUACAGGGCUCUUUUGGGUCUUGUAAUUGGAAUGAGAACAAUCUAAAUCCCUUAACGAGGAACAAUUGGAGGGCAAGUCUGGUGCCAGCAGCCGCGGUAAUUCCAGCUCCAAUAGCGUAUAUUAGAGUUGUUGCAGUUAAAAAGCUCGUAGUUGAACCUUGGGCCCGUCCUGCCGGUCCGCCUCACCGCGAGUACUGGUCCGGAUGGGCCUUUCUUUCUGGGGAAUCCCAUGGCCUUCACUGGCUGUGGCGGGGAACCAGGACUUUUACUGUGAAAAAAUUAGAGUGUUCAAAGCAGGCCUUUGCUCGGAUACAUUAGCAUGGAAUAAUAGAAUAGGACGUGCGGUUCUAUUUUGUUGGUUUCUAGGACCGCCGUAAUGAUUAAUAGGGAUAGUCGGGGGCGUCAGUAUUCAGCUGUCAGAGGUGAAAUUCUUGGAUUUGCUGAAGACUAACUACUGCGAAAGCAUUCGCCAAGGAUGUUUUCAUUAAUCAGGAACGAAG
rnacentral:rRNA from 1 species